GCAGGUACAGCGGGAAGCCACCUGGCGACAGGGAGCGGAACCCGAAAGCCUGUCUCAGUUCGGAUUGGAGCUGNAACCCGACUCCAUGAAGCUGGAUUCGCUAGUAAUCGCGCAUCAGCCACGGCGCGGUGAAUACGUUCCCGGGCCUUGUACACACCGCCCGUCAAGCCAUGGAAGCCGGGGGUGCCUGAAGUGCGCUGCCGCAAGGAGCGCCCUAGGGUAAAACCGGUGACUGGGGCUAAGUCGUAACAAGGUACC
rnacentral:rRNA from 1 species